CGUCGGUGGUGCGGGCUUUCCGUUCGCGCGUCGAGUGCUUGCGCCGGGAGCUGCGGUGUUCCUCCGGUGUGGGUGCCAGGCCCGCUCCGGCGA
rnacentral:tRNA from 1 species